rnacentral:lncRNA from 1 species
UAGAAUUAGGGUUUUUGGGUUAUGUCGUAUUUUUAUCGAAAAUUCCGUUAGCUUUGGUUUUGAAUUAUAAUGAGGGUUAGUAAUUGAAUUUGGCAUGUGUGUAGUUAAUGAUCGAGAGAGAUGCCGGAAGAGUGUUCAGAGGAUGGAAAGAAGGUAGAAUCCUCUUCGCUCCGACCUACAAAUAUUCACACAACUCCGACAGUUACGCCGGAGAAAUUACCGCCGGGAGAUCUAGGAAGAAUCGAAGAACGCCAGCUUGGUGCGACCGGAUUUUAUGGCACGGGAAGGGUAUUG